rnacentral:sRNA from 1 species
CUGAUAGUCCUGGAGAAUGAGGUAGUCUGUUUAUCCAAAGCACAGCCAUUAUGUUUGUACCAGCUUCUCUAAACUGUCCCUCAACCCUGACCUGGAGCAACAGCCUCUAGAGGUGAGAGAGUAAUUCAGACUUCAUUCAUUAGUCUUUGUCCCAC